ACUGCUCAAUUUGACUACUAUCUGUCUGAUAAAGAAAAAUGUGAAAAAAAUAUAUGAGCUUAAAGUUCAGUGAGUAGAUAGUUUUCAAAUAAGUAAACUUUUCUCAUUUAUGCAUAUUUUCUAUAAAUUCUUGCACUACUAAAACUUUUAGAAAUUCUAAAAUCUGGUAACACUUUUAAAAUCAAACAUGAAUACAUCAUAAAAUUCUUUGUUUUUCAUUCUAGAUAAGUAACUGUAAAAUGUAAUGAAUAUAAAUAAUAUUACAUCUGUGAAAAUCUGUGAAAUAUUAUUAUUGCUCAAUAUUAUAAACUGAAAGCUUUAAUAUGAGAACUGAAUAGACUGAAUUCUAUAAUUUGAAAUUUGAUAAGUUCUAAAAAUGUUGAAAAAUCACACGGAAGAGGUAACCAAUGAAUAGCCUUACUCAUGUACAGAGUAAUCUCGAUGUACAAGGUAAAGCCAUUCAAAUCUGAUAUUCUGAUAAUCUAAUAAUCUAUUCAUACGUACGUAGAGUUGUCCUAAAGGCUAAUCACCAUAGUUUACGACCUAAAGCCUACGUGUGUACGAGAGUGGGUCCCAAAAACCUCUGAUAAUCUGAUAAUCUGGUCAUACACUAUGGAAACACAUUCACAAUAAUGCAGAGCGGAUAAAAUCACCAUAACUAGUCAUAUACUGUGGAAACACAUUCACAACAGUGCAGACUCGGGUAAUAUCCCCUAGUACUUUCUGGUGGUUUUAAAAAUAACCCUAGCUAUACUGAAAUAGUUAUAUUCAAAUAUCAUGCUAAUCAAAUGAUUUAAUUGAAUUAAAUUUAACUUUAAAAAUAUCUGAUUAUAAAUCUACUUUAUUCUAAAAAUCAUGCUGUCAAAAUUAAUUUAUGAAAUAAUAAAUUUUUUAAUCUAACAUAAAUUUAAUAAAUAAUUAAUUUCUGAAAAAUAAGUUUUAUAUCCACUCACUCAAUACGAGCUACCGACUAGGCCGGUCGACAAGCUUUUUUAAUUUCUUCGUCACCACCUGAAAUACGUCACAAAAUAACUAAUUUAAUCACUAUUAAAAAUAAAGAAUUUUUUUAUCUCUAAUGAUUUAAUAAUUGAACUAAAUUUCCCGAGACUUGCGAAAUUUUCCUAAAUUUCCUUUAAUCAAUCGGACCUAAUUUCCACUUUUUAAUACCUUCACAAUUAUAUAUCACGUCCAAAUUUAACUUCAUUCCAAUCAUAACAAUAUUUAUCCCCUUCAUUCCAGUGAAAAACUAGCAAUCAUACUACAACCAAAUUAAUAUAUUUAUCGUUCCCCAAAAUCAUUCUUCCAAGUGAAUAAUUCCAUUAAUGUAAUCAUUUCUACAAAUAAUCCAUGUUCAAUCAUCAAAUUUAAAAACUAGGGUUUGCAAAAAAAAAAAAAAAUGAUAUGUCCUUAUCUUAGUGUAGAUAGAAAUUCAAGAAUCAAUAACUUGAGCUCCAAGUAUUAUUAAUCUCAAAAAUCUGAAAAUUUCGAGCCAAAAAUAAAACCCUUGAAUUUUAACAUAAAAUUUAUCUACCUCUUGAAGAAAAUAAAGAGAAAGGAAAAAUGGAAAUAGACCUUAAACUACCUCUUUCCUUUCUUCUUCUUCCUUUUUUCUUUUUCUCCUUCUUUUUCUUCCCUCUUUUCUUUCCCUUUUCUUUCUGCCGAUUUCUUCUUCUUCUCUACCUGUUAUUUUUCUUGCUUCUUUUGUGUGUGUGUGUGUG
rnacentral:lncRNA from 1 species